rnacentral:lncRNA from 1 species
GUUUAGGUUGUUGAUUUGGAAUGUUUAUUUAUAUAUGUAGAUGUCCUUGAAGACAGGAUUCUCAUUGCUUCCUUUAUCCUAUCAUCUUCAGGUUUCUUCAGAAAAUUUCAUUAUAUUUUCUUGCAGGUUCUUCUGGCAUCCCAGGACUAAAGGGAAGAAAAGGGUUUCUUGGAGCAAAAGGUGAACUAGGUGAUAAAGGUUUUCCCGGACCAUCUGAGACCUUGGUUGGUAUUGGGAAUAAAGGAGAACGAGGCUUAAAAGGACUUCAAGGAAGAAUUGGUCUAAAAGGAGAAAAAGGAGAUGCUGGUGUGCAAGGUCCCCCAGGUCUUGAUGGGUCUGAAGGAAUACCUGGUUUACCAGGUGUCAAAGGAUUUAUGGGUCUUCCAGGGAUUCCUGGAGGACAAGGAUUCCCAGGUGCACCAGGAAACAAAGGGGACAUGGGAAUUCCAGGUCCAAAAGGACAGAAAGGAUCUCCAGGCUUUCCAGGACUACCAGGUGACCCUGGUCCACCAGGCUAUGGUGGCUUUCCAGGUGACAAAGGAGAUCGUGGGUACCCAUCUGCUGGGCCUCCAGGAGAACCCGGUCCAAAGGGAGAUCCAGGCCCCCCAGGAGCUUUGGGCAGCAAAGGAGAAAAAGGAUCCCAAGGUCAUCCAGGACAUAAGGGAGUACCAGGACCACAUGGGAUCAGAGGAGAAACUGGAACUGCAGGAAUCCCAGGGAAGCGUGGACCUCCUGGAGAUCUUGGUGUUAAAGGACAGCAGGGCCGCCCAGGACAACAGGG